rnacentral:rRNA from 1 species
AGCAGCCGCGGUAAUUCCAGCUCCGAUAGCGUAUAUUAAAGUUGUUGCAGUUAAAAAGCUCGUAGUUGAAUUUCGGGGUUAGUAGGUUGGUCAUGCCUCUGGUAUGUACUGGUCUCACUGAUUCCUCCUUCCUGAUGAACCUUAAUGCCAUUAAUUUGGUGUUGCAGGGAAUCAGGACUGUUACUUUGAAAAAUUAGAGUGUUUAAAGCAGGCAUACGCUUGAAUACAUUAGCAUGGAAUAAUGAAAUAGGACGUUUGAUCCUAUUUUGUUGGUUUCUAGGAUUGACGUAAUGAUUAAUAGGGAUAGUUGGGGGCAUUAGUAUUCAAUUGUCAGAGGUGAAAUUCUUGGAUUUAUUGAAGACUAACUACUGCGAAAGCAUUUGCCAUGGAUGUUUUCAUUAAUCAAGAACGAAAGUUAGGGGAGUCGAAGACGAUCAGAUACCGUCGUAGUCUUAACCAUAAACUAUAGCCGACUAGGGAUCGGAUGAUGUUAUUUUAAUGA